rnacentral:tRNA from 10 species
CAACGUGCAGCCUCUUUCUGCACUUUUUUUCUUUUGAAACUAAUUCUUUCUUAUCUUUUAGGUCUCAAGAGUAAGUUUGGUUCCUAGGUGUUCACUGAACCCCUUCAGGCUGGGUUAAGAACAGAUCCCUGCAAGCUGACACUUUGACCAGUUGCUAAGCCAUGGGACCACGUGGCCUAAUGGAUAAGGCGUCUGACUUCGGAUCAGAAGAUUGAGGGUUCGAAUCCCUUCGUGGUUGAUUCUCCCUUUUUCACUCUAAAACAAGACUGCACAACCUCCCACACCACAAAAUUAUAGCAUCCAAUUAAUUUCCGAAAGUGAACGUGAAUUCUCUGCAGUCCUUUCCCGUGGAAAUGGGAAGUUGCAUCACACACCUCUUUGGAGUUGCGAGUGAUUCAGGUGGGGCCAGCACACCACCUUUCAGCUGUUUGUACUUUGGAGGAAACGCUUGGCCAGGCUGGCACACAGGUGCCUGGAGUCCGGGGUGGGAUGGAGAAAGCGUGAGCCCUGGUCCGGGAGUAUCCUCUUCCCGCCUGUUGAAUGGGCUCAGGGAACUCAGUUGAAUGCAUCUUAAGGAGCUUUAUUCACCUGGUCCCGCAGGGGGCGACCAUCACGUUUCCACUGGUCCCCAGUAGGCGCUACAAGUUUGACUCGCAGACACACAAAAGAGUGUAACUUGAGAGCCUUGUCUUUUUGAGGUCAGUUUAAAUAUCGCCCCCUUUCUAAAAUUUAGAGGAGCUGAAGAAACACACGCCUUAAAACCUGCUCAUGAUUCAGGUGGAUGUGGUCGUUGACCGGAAGCUUCUUUCUCUACCGGAGCCCGCUCCUGGGUUCUCCCUCACGUCGCGGGGCGAAUUAGACUGUCCGCAAUAUCUGAGGAACCAAGGUGUUAACAGAGACCUGAAAACAGGAGAAGAGGCGAGCCAGGAAAAGAUCUUGAAGAAGAGGAAGCAGUUUCUCCAAAAGGCGAAAGAGAGCCUUUGUAAUGCCCUUUAUAAUAAACCAGUGAAAGUCAAAACAAUUGUCUGGUCAGGAAGAUAUAAAAAAUAGAACAACAAAAAAAAUUAAACCAGUAAACGUUAAAACAAAACAAAAGGGGAAAGAAUCUGGCCAAAUACAUUUGAAUACUUUUAUGAAAUGGAGAAAUUAUUAGGACGACAUGACUAUUAAGUACGAUUCAAGAAGGAAUAGCAAUAAUGAAUAGUUAAACUACGAAAUAAAUUGAAAAAGUUGUCAAACAUCUUCCUACUGAGAAAACCCCAUGUCCCAUCACUUACCCAGGGUUUACGAGGUCAGGAAACUGAGACCAU